rnacentral:rRNA from 1 species
GGAAUCAACGCUGGCGGCGUGCCUAACACAUGCAAGUCGAACGAGAAAGUGGAGCAAUCCAUGAGUAAAGUGGCGCACGGGUGAGUAACACGUGACUAACCUACCCUUGAGUGGGGAAUAACCUAGGGAAACCUGGGCUAAUACCGCAUAACACCUACGGGUCAAAGGAGCAAUUCGCUUAAGGAGGGGGUCGCGGCAGAUUAGCUAGUUGGCGGGGUAAUGGCCCACCAAGGCAGUGAUCUGUA